rnacentral:rRNA from 1 species
GAGUUUGAUCGUGGCUCAGAUUGAACGCUGGCGGCAUGCCUUACACAUGCAAGUCGAACGGCAGCAUGAUCUAGCUUGCUAGAUUGAUGGCGAGUGGCGAACGGGUGAGUAAUACAUCGGAACGUGCCCUGUAGUGGGGGAUAACUAGUCGAAAGAUUAGCUGAUACCGCAUACGACCUGAGGGUGAAAGUGGGGGACCGCAAGGCCUCAUGCUAUAGGAGCGGCCGAUGUCUGAUUAGCUAGUUGGUGGGGUAAAGGCCCACCAAGGCGACGAUCAGUAGCUGGUCUGAGAGGACGAUCAGCCACACUGGGACUGAGACACGGCCCAGACUCCUACGGGAGGCAGCAGUGGGGAAUUUUGGACAAUGGGCGAAAGCCUGAUCCAGCAAUGCCGCGUGUGUGAAGAAGGCCU